GCUUGCUCUUUUGGUGGCGAGUGGCGAACGGGUGAGUAAUGCAUCGGAACGUACCGAGUAAUGGGGGAUAACUAUCCGAAAGGAUAGCUAAUACCGCAUACGCUUUGAGAAGGAAAGUGGGGGCUCUUCGGACCUCACGUUAUUCGAGCGGCCGAUGUCUGAUUAGCUAGUUGGUGGGGUAAAGGCCUACCAAGGCGACGAUCAGUAGCGGGUCUGAGAGGAUGAUCCGCCACACUGGGACUGAGACACGGCCCAGACUCCUACGGGAGGCAGCAGUGGGGAAUUUUGGACAAUGGGCGCAAGCCUGAUCCAGCCAUGCCGCGUGUCUGAAGAAGGCCUUCGGGUUGUAAAGGACUUUUGUUAGGGAAGAAAAGGAUAGUGUUAAUACCAUUAUCUGCUGACGGUACCUAAAGAAUAAGCACCGGCUAACUACGUGCCAGCAGCCGCGGUAAUACGUAGGGUGCGAGCGUUAAUCGGAAUUACUGGGCGUAAAGCGAGCGCAGACGGUUUAUUAAGCAAGAUGUGAAAUCCCCGAGCUUAACUUGGGAACUGCGUUUUGAACUGGUAAGCUAGAGUAUGUCAGAGGGGGGUAGAAUUCCACGUGUAGCAGUGAAAUGCGUAGAGAUGUGGAGGAAUACCGAUGGCGAAGGCAGCCCCCUGGGAUAAUACUGACGUUCAUGCUCGAAAGCGUGGGUAGCGAACAGGAUUAGAUACCCUGGUAGUCCACGCCCUAAACGAUGUCAAUUAGCUGUUGGGGCACUUGAUGCCUUAGUAGCGAAGCU
rnacentral:rRNA from 1 species